UUCAUUCCCCAUCCAAUCUGAGCAGCCUAUUGCAUCAUGUUAAAUAUCUAAAUCAGCAGACUCAAUAGUAUCAUGAUACUUAUCCUUUGCAUUUGAGUGCCAUUGCCUGGCUUUUUUUUUGCAGGUCUAUAGGUGAAAUUGAGUAUCUCACUGUAACCAUGGCAACGCGAGGGGCCGCACCUGCACGUCGUUUUGUUAAUUAGGUCCCCCGAUCUAAUGAGUUCACCUGGCGCGGCUCGCGCUGUGUUUGGUUAAGCGCAGUGAUCCAAACAGGGUCGUUUCCCACCACCGUUCAGACGUCGCCGUCCACAAGAUACGGUUAACCGCAAGGUUACGAACACUUUUCGAAGUAAAACUGACUAGGCCUAUCUGGACCGGCUGUCACAAAGAACAAACUGCUAUUCUGUGAGUAUCACAAUUGAGCCAUGAAGAAGAAACUGCGAACUUUGCGUAUAAGAAGAGGAUAAAGUUGAAGGCUGCGACAUUUACAUUUGAGGCAAUUUGGUGUUUCCGCACCACGGCUCGUUGGAUCUACAGCAACCCAGCAGCUGAAUAUGGCUAAGUACCAUUUUGCUAUCAUAUUUCCAUUGAUGCUGCUAGUGUUCUAAAUUCCUGUGCUGUGAUUAUGCUGUAAACAAAAUCAAUUAGUGAGGAAUUACUUGACACUAUACUUAUGGCGGCUAGUAGUAGUACUUAUCUGAAAGUUCAACAGCUAAAAUAAUGGAUCCAUGUGCCACAUGUUGAAGUAAUAUCAACCAUAGAACGGUACAGAGCUGAGCUUGUAACUGUAGUUUGUCCCAAGUUCUGUCUCCACAUCCAGGUCCAUCACCACCCCCCCCCCCCCCCCCCCCGUAUCACCACUGGCCGAAGUACUCCAUAGCAGUGAGGUUCCCCUGGAUGAACCAUAAGGCAGCAGGGUGGACCAGAGGCCGGGAACCAGCAGGUUACUCACAGGUAUCAUCACCGAGCUGUUCUGAGUCGCCCAGAGACCGGGGAGCUGAUGGAGCUGAUGGUGCUGAUGGAGCUGAUGGUGCUGAUGGUGCAGGGGAGCAGGGGAGCUGAUGGAGCUGAUGGUGCAGGGGAGCUGAUGGUGCAGGGGAGCUGAUGGAGCAGGGGAGCUGAUGGAGCUGAUGGAGCUGAUGCUGCAGGGGAGCUGAUGGAGCUGAUGGAGCAGGGGAGCUGAUGGAGCAGGGGAGCUGAUGGAGCAGGGGAGCUGAUGGAGCUGAUGCUGCAGGGGAGCUGAUGCUGCAGGGGAGCUGAUGGAGCUGGGGGAGCUGAUGGAGCUGGGCUGGGGGUCCGGCCUGACGAAGGAUGUUCCUGUUGGGGUGAGUGAAGCCCAACUUUAAGGUGAAGCUGAUGACUCGCCUGGAACGAUGCAUGGACCACGAUGGGACUAAUUAAGCCUUUGGAAGAGCUGGAGUCCAUGGCUGACGAAGGAGUCGUCAGGAGGAAGACCAUGAGUCGGCCUGCCAACAAGCGUCACUGGGGAGUUUGCAUAAACUGUUUCGUUUACUAUCAGACAUGACCGCAAACGACCAAUAUUACCAAACCAGACAGACUGCUUCUGUGUGUUACCAGACCACAAAAACUAGUGUGAUGUUUGUUACCAGACUAAAUAAUCCUGUUGCAAGACAAACUACCACUGUUUGAUACAAGACUAAAUAAUGCUGUUACCAGACAAACUACCCCUGCUGGUUACCAGACGUUGAGGCGUAACCAAUGCCGUUUGUUUUCCAGAGCCGUGGCGGAGCUAUGUUGGAGGACUGGGCUGGUGAACGAUGUCCCUAGUGCGGCCUGAUUGUGAUCAGAGGACGCAGACGGCUCUCCAGGGGUCACUUGGAGGACAACCAUGUGACGGUCUUUGGAAGCCAGUGCUACUACGUUUACCAGACCAGGAGUGCUGGGCUGAGCAGCUGAUGGGGGGGACAUUGCAUCUGGAGGAAGACCAUGAUUCUACCUGCCAACGAGCAUUACUGCUGCUGAAAUGCUGUGGCAGACACACCUGAGCUGUAUCCUUAGACGGCAAAGUCCUUCAGAGUGACAAAUAAACAGCGCCUCAUCACAGCUGAAGUCGUCGCUUUACUGGGGAUUCAUCACUGGACUGUGGAUCAUCCUCUACAUCCACAGAACUUUACUUUGUCAUCAUCUGUCACAUAAGGAUUCCUCCUAAUGUGUUCCAUUAAGGUUCUUUUUCCUCCCCACUGCCAAAGGUUUUCCUUCAAGGUGUUUGGGUUCAGUGUUAGGGACAGAGUUAGGGCGAGUUGGUUGAGGAAUGGGCUGGUUUCACGAUGUAAUGCUCUGCUUUUGUAUUGGGUUGGACAUUGGACUAAAAAACCCACGAUGUUGUGCAAACGCUUUUUACAAUUUGUACUAAUGGUGUUUCUAUAAUAAAAACCCUAUAAAAAAAAAA